rnacentral:rRNA from 1 species
UACAGAGGGUGCAAGCGUUAAUCGGAAUUACUGGGCGUAAAGCGUGCGUAGACGGUUACAUAAGUCGGGUGUGAAAGCCCCGGGCUCAACCUGGGAAUUGCAUUCGAGACUGCGUAGCUAGGGUGCGGAAGAGGGAAGCGGAAUUUCCGGUGUAGCGGUGAAAUGCGUAGAUAUCGGAAGGAACACCAGUGGCGAAAGCGGCUUCCUGGUCCAGCACCGACGUCAGGCACGAAAGCGUGGG